rnacentral:rRNA from 1 species
CCUACGGGGUGCAGCAGUGGGGAAUAUUGCACAAUGGGGGGAACCCUGAUGCAGCGACGCCGCGUGGGUGAAGGAGUAUUUCGGUAUGUAAAGCCCUAUCAGCAGGGAAGAACAAUGACGGUACCUGACUAAGAAGCACCGGCUAAAUACGUGCCAGCAGCCGCGGUAAUACGUAUGGUGCAAGCGUUAACCGGAUUUACUGGGUGUAAAGGGAGCGCAGGCGGCGCGUUAAGCCUGGUGUGAAAGCCCGCGGCCCAACCGCGGGACUGCAUUGGGAACUGCGUGGCUAGAGUGCAGGAGGGGCAGGCGGAAUUCCAGGUGUAGCGGUGAAAUGCGUAGAUAUCAGGAGGAACACCGGUGGCGAAGGCGGCCUGCUGGACUGCAACUGACGUUGAGGCGCGAAAGCGUGGGGAGCAAACAGGAUUAGAUACCCGGGUAGUC